rnacentral:rRNA from 1 species
GGCGCUUCAUACCCACCUAGAGGAGCCUGUUCUAGAACCGAUACUACCCGUUUAACCUCACCUUCUCUUGUUCCUACCGCCUAUAUACCGCCGUCGUCAGCCCACCCUGUGAAGGCCCAGUAGUGAGCACAACUGGUACAACCCAAAACGUCAGGCCGAGGUGUAGCGUAUGAGAAGGGAAGAAAUGGGCUACAAUUGCUGAAACAGCUAAUACGAAUUGUACCGCUGAAAGUGCGGACAUGAAGGAGGAUUUAGAAGUAAGGGGUAAGCAGAGUGUCCCCCUGAAAUGGCUCUGAAGCGAGCACAUACCGCCCGUCACUCUCCCCAAGUUAAAACAUCUAAAUAGUAACUAAUCCAUAUUAACCUGCAAAGGGGAGACAAGUCGUAACAUGGUAAGUGUACCGGAAGGUGCACUUGGAAGAAAUAUAU